rnacentral:lncRNA from 1 species
CUCAGUCAUUUUGAAAUUCAAACUAAGUUACAGUAACACAUUGCGUAGGCUGAGGAUGACUAUCAUGACACCUUCGAAGCAACACAGGAUUUAACAAGAACAUACUGACUUCUAUUUCACUAUUCCACCAAACAGAAAGUAAUGCUCUAGACUAUUACACUCUCAUGAAAAAAACGUUCCACAGCAAUAUUAUCUAACUGCGGAAACAUGUUUAACCC